rnacentral:lncRNA from 1 species
AGUUUUCACUUUCAGGAAGUGUUGAGGUCCACACCCAACUCAGGCUCUCCAUCCCUGAGGGGAAGCACGUGGCUGUCCCCUUUCGGUGGAUUUCAAGCAUCCCUGGCGCAGGUGCAGCGGCCUUGCCCUGGGCUCACCAGCAGCCUUUGGGGUCCCAGUUGGCAGGCAGCCCUGUUCCCUGGGGGUCCCUGCCGGAGCUGCUGGUCCCUGGAGCUACCCCGUGGUACGGUUCAUCUGGACCAGCCUCUGAUGUGGGGAAGACCAAGCGAGAGCACACUGCGGAGAGCAAUGUGAUAAUUCAAUAUUUUGCUGUUGAUGUGUUUCG